AUUGAACGCUGGCGGCAGGCCUAACACAUGCAAGUCGAGCGGAUGAAGGGAGCUUGCUCCUGGAUUCAGCGGCGGACGGGUGAGUAAUGCCUAGGAAUCUGCCUGGUAGUGGGGGAUAACGUCCGGAAACGGGCGCUAAUACCGCAUACGUCCUGAGGGAGAAAGUGGGGGAUCUUCGGGCCUCACGCUAUCAGAUGAGCCUAGGUCGGAUUAGCUAGUUGGUGGGGUAAAGGCCUACCAAGGCGACGAUCCGUAACUGGUCUGAGAGGAUGAUCAGUCACACUGGAACUGAGACACGGUCCAGACUCCUACGGGAGGCAGCAGUGGGGAAUAUUGGACAAUGGGCGAAAGCCUGAUCCAGCCAUGCCGCGUGUGUGAAGAAGGUCUUCGGAUUGUAAAGCACUUUAAGUUGGGAGGAAAGGCAGUAAGUUAAUACCUUGCUGUUUUGACGUUACCAACAGAAUAAGCACCGGCUAACUUCGUG
rnacentral:rRNA from 1 species